rnacentral:tRNA from 1 species
GCCGAAGUAGCUCAGUGGUAGAGCAACUGUUUUGUAAACAGUAGGCCGUGGGUUCGAAUCCCACCUUCGGCUCCA